GACGUAGGGCGCGAGCGUUGUCCGGAUUUAUUGGGCGUAAAGAGCUCGUAGGCGGCUUGUCGCGUCGUUCGUGAAAACUCACAGCUCAACUGUGAGCUUGCGGUCGAUACGGGCAGGCUCGAGUUCGGUAGGGGAGACUGGAAUUCCUGGUGUAGCGGUGAAAUGCGCAGAUAUCAGGAGGAACACCGGUGGCGAAGGCGGGUCUCUGGGCCGAUACUGACGCUGAGGAGCGAAAGCGUGGGGAGCGAACAGG
rnacentral:rRNA from 1 species